rnacentral:RNase_P_RNA from 1 species
UUGAUUUGUCGAAUGAUCGCCCUGAGUUAAAUCAGGGAGGAAAGUCCGAACGCCCCUCUGAUAAAACAGAGGAAGUAGGUACCACCUAACGGGUGGGCAAGCUGGCAGGAUAUAAAGUAAACCUGCCUGACGGACAGUGCCACAGAGACAAUACUAACCCCGCAAGGGGCCAAAGGUGAAAAGUGAGGCGGUGUAUCGCAAUAAUGACUCUAAAGGUCAGAAUUACGUUUGCUACGCUUCUCAUGUUUGGGCAACUAAACAUUGUGGAAAACCCUACCUGGCGCAAUCUCAAAUACGAGAGCUCGAGCCCUGGCGCGAGCCAAGGCCCAGAUAGAUGAUCAUUUUGAAACAAAAUUCGGCUUACGAGCAAAUCAAAGAC